rnacentral:tRNA from 1 species
GAGGAUAUAGCUCAGUGAUAGAGCACAUCUUUAGUAAUCAUGAGGUCUUGGGUUAAAAUCCCAGUAUCUCCA